AAAAAAAAAAGUUAAUUUAGUUACAAUUGUUAAGGAUUAGUUGUAAAUAGAGUUCUAUUAGGAGUUAGAUUCCUAAUUAGUUUAUGAUUUGUAUUCCUAAAUAGCUAGGUAACAUAGGAAUUCCUUAUAUAUAGACCUAUGUAAUCGAUUGAUGAGAUACAA